GGCUCCACAUGUUCCUGAGAACAAGAAUACUCCACUGCCGUGUCGGGGCUCUCAUCUUCCCUAGCUGCCAGCUUGGUCGCGGUGAUGAAUGGAAGAGGAAGAGGUAGCAGAUCCCCAGGAGGGAAUUGGAUGCAGCUGAAAUACAAGGCAGUAAAGGACACAAGAGUCUACAGCUUUUACUGCAUACUCAUCUCGUUUGCUGAUAAACUUGGUCCAUCCAAAGCUUCCCAGGUGGUUGCAGCGUUAUCCCAGGCUGAGAAGCACAUCACUGUCUGCUAUCUAAGGAAGGUUCUCGUUGGGAUUCAUGGAGUCAUAGAGUAA
ensembl:lncRNA